rnacentral:rRNA from 1 species
GGAAUAUUGGGCAAUGGGGGAAACCCUGACCCAGCAAUGCCGCGUGAAGGAUGAAGGUCUUCGGAUUGUAAACUUCUUUGAUUGGGGAAGAAUAAAGUGACCUACCCAAAGAACAAGUCACGGCUAACUACGUGCCAGCAGCCGCGGUAAUACGUAGGUGACAAGCGUUAUCCGGAUUUACUGGGUGUAAAGGGCGUGUAGGCGGCUUUGCAAGUCAGAUGUGAAAUUCCCGGGCUUAACCUGGGCGCUGCAUCUGAAACUGCAAAACUUGAGUGCUGGAGGGGAAAGCGGAAUUCCUAGUGUAGCGGUAAAAUGCGCAGAUAUUAGGAGGAACACCGGUGGCGAAGGCGGCUUUCUGGACAGUAACUGACGCUGAGGCGCGAAAGCGUGGGGAGCAAACA